rnacentral:rRNA from 1 species
AUUGAACGCUGGCGGCAGGCCUAACACAUGCAAGUCGAACGAGUGGCGGACGGGUGAGUAAUGUCUGGGAAACUGCCCGAUUGAGGGGGAUAACUACUGGAAAAGGUAGCUAAUCCCGCAUACCAUCGGAUGUGCCCAGCUGGGAUUAGCUAGUUGGAGGGGUAACGGCUCACCUAGGCGACGAUCCCUCGCUGGUCUGAGAGGAUGACACGCAAUACUGGAACUGAGACACGGUCAAGACUCCGUCGGGAGGCAGCAGUGGGGAAUAUUGCACAAUGGGCGCAAGCCUGAUGCAGCCAUGCCGCUUGUAUGAAGAAGGCCUUCGGGUUGUAAAGUACUGUCAGCGAGGAGGCGUUACUCGCAGAAGAAGCACCGGCUAACUCCGUGCCAGCAGCCGCGGUAAUAC